UACGUAGGGUGCAAGCGUUAAUCGGAAUUACUGGGCGUAAAGCGUGCGCAGGCGGUUAUGUAAGACAGAUGUGAAAUGCCCGGGCUUAACCUGGGAACUGCAUUUGUGACUGCAUGGCUAGAGUGUGUCAGAGGGGGGUAGAAUUCCACGUGUAGCAGUGAAAUGCGUAGAGAUGUGGAGGAAUACCGAUGGCGAAGGCAGCCUCCUGGGAUAACACUGACGCUCAUGCACGAAAGCGUGGGGAGCAAACAGG
rnacentral:rRNA from 1 species